rnacentral:tRNA from 1 species
ACCUGGCUGGCUCAGUUGGUAGAGUUUGAGACUCUUGACCUUUGGGGCAUGAGUUCGAGCCCCAUGUCGAGUG